UACGGGGGGGGCAAGCGUUGUUGGGAAUUACUGGGCGUAAAGGGUUUGUAGGGGGCUUGCUAAGUCAGACGUGAAAUCCCUCAGCUUAACUGGGGAACUGCGUCUGAGACUGGCAGGCUUGAGUGCAGGAGAGGAACGCGGAAUUCCUGGUGUAGCGGUGAAAUGCGCAGAUAUCGGGAGGAACACCUGUGGCGAAGGCGGCUUUCUGGGCCUUACCUGACGCUGAGACGCGAAAGCGUGGGGAGCGAACCGG
rnacentral:rRNA from 1 species